AGUACAGUGCUCUGCACACAGUAAGCGCUCAAUAAAUACGAUUGACUGAUUGAUUGAAAGGAAGGGGCUUGCUCUUGAGAAGCUACAAUCUAAGGCAGGGUGUGGGGGAGGGAUGGUCAAUAAAUUUCCCAAUUUAAAUGGGUAUAAGAGCAUAUAAAUGAUCGAGAGAAGCAAGUAAAUGAAUAAUAAACAGAUAUUCACCCGCCUACUAAGGUGACUGAUAGGGUAACAUGAUCAGGAGGUGGAUUUCUAGGGUAGAGUCAAGGUUUUACUUGCUCUUCCUAUCAGAAUAGCUGCAUGUCAUUUAGUGGGGAUGAGACAUAAAGAAUGUUUCCCAGGAAAUAGAUACUCUCGGCUUCCUGUCCAGUGGGUUUCUAAUGAUGAUGAUUAUAAUAACAGGUGGCUAUUAUUGGCCAACUGUCCAAGUGCUAUGUGCCAAGCACUGUACUAAACAUUAGGUAGAGUCAAGUUAAUCAGGUUGGACACAGUCCCUGUCCCAGAUGGGGCUCACAGUCUAAAGACGCUUUUCGGAGAGUUUAGGCUCAUCUUUAGGGAAAGGAAGGGCAUGAGUUGAACUUGUUUACAGUACUGAUGUGUAUUCCCUCUUUGUGUUUUCUUAGACCACCUUAUAAACCGAUUUUGCAGAUGUGGGUGUCAGUCUUACACCGGGGCAUACCUUUUGUCUGAUGCUGUGGUUAAACAAUACAAGCAACAAAAAACCCCCCACCUAGUGUCUCGACCGAUUUCCCUCCCUGAAUUUCUUCCUGCUUACUAACGGGAUGAACUCCGUUUCGAGGAACCGACUUUUCCAUUUCCGAGCUAAACGAGGGUGCCCUCACCUAGCAGAAUCGCCCAGUAGGAUAGCGGCAGUAGGGGACGGCGAUCUUGCCAGCCUGUAUAAUGCAUGCCUGUUUCACCGCGUCCUUGCUUCUGCCCCUUAGUUCAACCCCCUCCGUGUGCUCAGAAGAGAUCCUAGCCAUCGAAGAGAAUUUUCUUUUUUUUAAAAAAAGCUGCAUAUUACGGUUUUUUGUAACUGCUGAGUGAAGGGCGGGGGUGCCGUUGGGCACCGUCCGUCUUUCCAUUGUGUCCAAGCCUUGGUUCGAAGCGGUGGAUUUGUACCUUAAUGAGUCUGUACUGUUCGACUGUUGCUGAUGAACUUCUGUGCUAUCAACGAGAACUACCACCAAGUGUCUUAAACUUUAUCGCCCCCCCCCCCUCCCCGCCCCACUGUUUCUAACGCCGAGUUCUGUAACCGUGGUGAUCCGGGUGUCCGCCUGUAAAGAACCGACCCUCCCUGUACCCCCCUCGGUGCCGUGCCCGUGCCCGCGAUGGGUGUUCUCGUCUCCGUGCUGGAAAAAUAAAUGGUUGUGGGAUUUCACCCGCCCGCGGCUGA